rnacentral:rRNA from 1 species
CGGACGGGUGAGUAAUGCCUAGGAAUCUGCCUGGUAGUGGGGGAUAACGCUCGGAAACGGACGCUAAUACCGCAUACGUCCUACGGGAGAAAGCAGGGGACCUUCGGGCCUUGCGCUAUCAGAUGAGCCUAGGUCGGAUUAGCUAGUUGGUGAGGUAAUGGCUCACCAAGGCGACGAUCCGUAACUGGUCUGAGAGGAUGAUCAGUCACACUGGAACUGAGACACGGUCCAGACUCCUACGGGAGGCAGCAGUGGGGAAUAUUGGACAAUGGGCGAAAGCCUGAUCCAGCCAUGCCGCGUGUGUGAAGAAGGUCUUCGGAUUGUAAAGCACUUUAAGUUGGGAGGAAGGGCAGUUACCUAAUACGUAACUGUUUUGACGUUACCGACAGAAUAAGCACCGGCUAACUCUGUGCCAGCAGCCGCGGUAAUACAGAGGGUGCAAGCGUUAAUCGGAAUUACUGGGCGUAAAGCGCGCGUAGGUGGUUCGUUAAGUUGGAUGUGAAAUCCCCGGGCUCAACCUGGGAACUGCAUUCAAAACUGACGAGCUAGAGUAUGGUAGAGGGUGGUGGAAUUUCCUGUGUAGCGGUGAAAUGCGUAGAUAUAGGAAGGAACACCAGUGGCGAAGGCGACACCUGGACUGUACUGACCUGAGGUGCGAAGCGUGGGGAGCAACAGGAUAGAUCCCUGGUAGUCACGCCGUAACGAUGUAACUAGCGUUGGGAGCCUUGAGCUCUAGUGGCGCACUCACCCUUAAGUUGACCGCCUGGGAAUACGCCGCAGGAUAGACUCAAUGAUUGACG